CCUACGGGGUGCAGCAGUGGGGGAUAUUGCACAAUGGGGGAGACCCUGAUGCAGCGACGCCGCGUGGGUGAAGAAGCGCCUCGGCGCUGAAAGCCCUUUCAGCAGGGGAGAAAAUGACGGUACCUGAAGAAGAAGCCCCGGCUAUCUACGUGCCAGCAGCCGCGGUAAUACGUAGGGGGCAAGCGUUAUCCGGAUUUACUGGGUGUAAAGGGGGCGCAGAGGGCGAUGCAAGCGAGGAGUGAAAGCCCGGGGCCCAACCCCGGGACUGCUCUUGGAACUGCGUGGCUAGAGUGCAGGAGGGGCAGGCGGAAUGCCUGGUGUAGCGGUGAAAUGCGUAGAUAUCAGGAGGAACACCGGUGGCGAAGGCGGCCUGCUGGACUGCAACUGACGUUGAGGCCCGAAAGCGUGGGGAGCAAACAGGAUUAGAUACCCGAGUAGUC
rnacentral:rRNA from 1 species